rnacentral:misc_RNA from 1 species
CUUGUUAAAAGCCAUGGGAGCAUAGAAGCGUUGGCUGGGCUGGUAAGUACAAUUGCUCGUGUGAAUGUUGACGAGGCAGAAGCUUAUGAGAAGCAGCUGAAACCUUUACCAGGUCUGAAAGGGAUCGAUGUAGAUAGUUUGGAGAAGACUUCUGGGGCAAAGCAUGGUGAAGGUUCUCAUAUAUCGAUUGCUGACAUACAAGAGGAGGGCAAGAAAGAGAAACCGAAGAAAAAGAGAAAGAGAAAGCCAAGGUAUCCUAAAGGGUUUGACCCUGCAAAUCCAGGUCCUCCUCCAGAUCCAGAAAGGUGGCUCCCCAAGAGAGAGAGAUCAAG